GACGAACGCUGGCGGCAGGCCUAACACAUGCAAGUCGAGCGAGCGGCGGACGGGUGAGUAAUGUCUGGGAAACUGCCUGAUGGAGGGGGAUAACUACUGGAAACGGUAGCUAAUACCGCAUACCAUCAGAUGUUCCCAGAUGGCAUUAGCGAGUAGGUGGGGGAACGGCUCACCUAGGCGACGAUCCCUAGCUGGUCUGAGAGGAUGACCAGCCACACUGGAACUGAGACACGGUCCAGACUCCUACGGGAGGCAGCAGUGGGGAAUAUUGGACAAUGGGCGCAAGCCGGAUGCAGCCAUGCCGCGUGUAUGAAGAAGGCCUUCGGGUUUUAAAGUACUUUCAGCGGGGAGGCGUUACCCGCAGAAGAAGCACCGGCUAACUCCGUGCCAGCAGCCGCGGUAAUAC
rnacentral:rRNA from 1 species